AUUGAACGCUGGCGGCAGGCCUAACACAUGCAAGUCGAGCGGAGCGGCGGACGGGUGAGUAUUGCUUAGGAAUCUGCCUGGUAGUGGUGGAUAACGUCCGGAAACGGGCGCUAAUACCGCUUCCUCUCACCUUAGCCUAGGUCGGAUUAGCUUGUGGGUGGGUUAAGGGCCUACCAAGGCGACGAUCCUUAACUGGUCUGAGAGGAUGAUCAGUAACACUGGAACUGAGACACGGUCCAGACUCCUACGGGAGGCAGCAGUGGGGAAUAUUGGACAAUGGGCGAAAGCCUGAUCCAGCCAUGCGGCGUGUGUGAAGAAGGUCUUCGGAUUGUAAAGCACUUUAAGUUGGGAGGCGUUACCAACAGAAUAAGCACCGGCUAACUUCGUGCCAGCCGCCGCGGUAAUAC
rnacentral:rRNA from 1 species